UGAAAAAACAGACCACCAAAGACUAAACAUAGGAUGGUCACUCUUUUUCAUCUACAGAGACAGAUAAUUCCAGAAGAGGGCUAACCAAGGAGAUUAAUGGUUGUUCCUGAGUGGUGGGUUCAUUAAAGGGUAGUUUUCUUUUUAUUCUCUUUUGCUGGUCUGUCCUUUCUAAAUUUUCUAAAGUGAGCGUGCAUUGUUUCAGUCAGAAGGAAAUACACAAAUUAUUUUUAGAAUUAAAAAAGUCUCUAGAGGGUUUCUGUUGUUUUAAGUAAAAAUUCGAUCUGUAUCAGUGGCCAAAGCAGUAUUCCUGAAUAGCAAGUUGGCUUCCUCGACUUCAAAUCCACCUUCCCACCAUGGGAAGGAAAAGGGCCAGCUGAUAGCAAAUCCUAAAACUCAAGGUGAAGAACCAGCCUGCUGUUUAUGGUUAAUUCACACACACAUACACGCACAUGCACACGCAUACGCACGCACACACACAGGAACCCACUUUUUUGAUAUCUGUUCUCUGAAAACACAGGUCAGCAACCACUUUAGGUCCUUACAGAAAUGGGUUUCGUUUUAUGACUUUGGACUUCAUACUCUGGUAGUUUUGCCGUUUUCUUCUGCCCUCACUAUGCUAACACAGACCCUCAUUUAUUUUGAAUCUGUGUAGGAGGGAGUCGUUGCAAUUUUCAGGGUUUGUCUAUCCACAAGUCAACUGGAGGGGAGCGGGGGGUUGGGCCCAGACCAAGCCAGAUCCAACUCACGGCCUCACAAAAUACACUCCAUCCGUGUAUUAUCGCGAGUAAAGUUCACUCCUCACGUGAUGCGGUCAUGCUGCCCAGGCCCCGUUGACGGAUCUCUGCAUAUUUAACCUCAGCCACAAAAUGUGAGUACUUGAGCUCUCAACACACCCCCGGUACCUGAAUAUCAGCCAAGAAGUGGAGCGAGGCUGCAGCAUCGCAGAGCUGGCCUGAGAGCACGGGGACAUUUGCUGGGGCGAAGAUGGAUGCAUCGCAUUUCUUAACAGGCCUUCUCAGAUUCACUCCCGUGGCGACUGCUAAGUUAUCAGCAAAAAUUAUGCGAACCACAAGACACAGCAAUGCACAAAUCAUGGGAACCCCGAAACACGCUCAUCAGAGGCCCGAGUAAGUUUUUCUAAUAGCAAGACCUUGGCCUUGGUGUUUUCAAUCUGGAAAUAAUAGAUGAAGUUGAAUCUUGGUCUGUGUUAAAAUAGCAUUGACUUAAAUACCAAUGCCAAUAGCAGUUUAACAUUUAUUUUCAAAACCAAUCUCCCUUUCUCUUUCUUGGUAUCAUUCACAAAGGGAUUUUUUUUUUUUUUGGUUGUUUGUUUUGGGGAUGUUUGUUUUGUUCUGUUUUGUUUUCCAUGGAAAUAGUUAUGUUCUGAGAAACAGCAACUUGGAAUUUUAAAAAAAAGGGUACUUUUCCUAAAAGUAUAUUCAAGAACAGCCGAGUCCACACUUUCAAACCCUACUCAUAGUGUAAUCUUCGAAUGUUUUUCCUACCUAAAGAUUAUAUUCUAGGUUUCCAAAAUCCCCGAAAGAUGCCACACAGCUUCUAGAUCUGUUCCACUUAAUUCCUAAUUAAAGACCGAGAAAAAGGAAAGCUUUUAUUGAAAUGCUUGGAUUCGAGGAAAGGAGGUUACAACUGGAGUUGAUAUUGGUGAGUAUUUAACUAGCAAAGGUUAAUUAGAACUGCAGGAAUGAGAUGUAAAAUAACGGAUUCUGAUCAAUUGAUUAAUGAGAUGUCAGAAGGUACAAGAAUUCACCUUUGGGAGAAGCAUAUUAAAAAUGAAAUACAUUUGCAGAGCCAUAAUGUCUUCCCUCUUAUUUAGUUUAUUAAACACUAGGAGCAGCUGGAUGUUUUUCUAUCUGUGACAAUCUGCAGAAAAUUACGGCCCCCAAAUCCACCAAAAGUAGCACCAAAAUGUCACCCAGUCUCCCCUAACACCCAUAAAAGUGAACAAAGUCUCAAGGAAGAAGCCGAAAUCUCCAGCGGUCCCCUCUCCCGCUCCUCUCUGGCCUCUCUCCCCGUUCCUUCUGCAUGCUGGGUUCAGAUUCAUUUAAAAGGUAAGUGGUUUUGAAAUUCUGGAUUAGAAAUUAUUAAAAUCGGGCAUGCUACACCCAUUCUGGAUUUAUCGAUUCAUUAGCCCCGUAUCAAUUUCACCGUUGACAUGAGUGACGCGCUGGGGAAAGGGUCUCGCGAACGCUUUUCCUUUCUCACUUGACGUUGCUGGUGAACAAACAGAUCCCCUGUUUGCGGCAUCGAUGCUCUUUGUCACAAUAAACCCCAGUAUAUUAUGUUUAUAUAUGUCCGUCAGGCAUGUCACAACAGUUUGGCAUUCUGAGCGGCUCUACCACUGUGUACAUUAAAUAGUCAUGUAGUUACAUUAAACAGUGGGGAGUUCACACUUCACAACCACUCAGUGUUUUAAAACAGAUGUGGGCUGUCUGUUGUCAGACUCUGGUGGAAAAAUUCAGAAGGAUCUGAGUGGGAACACAAUCUCCAAAUGAUUGAGGGCUCCCCCAAUUUUCCACCCACGUUCCUCCACCCCCCCCCACGAGAGGUUGAGGGUGAGAGAGAUUUGGGGGAAAGGAAGAGGGAAAAAGGUAGGGGGCAGGAAGCCACAACUUUUAUGUCUUCUAGAACAGAGAUCUGAAAAAAAAGAAUUCAGAAUUCGGAAUAGUUUGUGGCAUGGAAUAUUUUGAGCGGGGUGGGCUCGCUGGGGUGUCGUGGGAUUUACUGACAGGAGAAUUUUUGACAGUUGAUGGACAGAUGAAUUCCGUCAUGGAAGCGUUAGUCGAAAGCGGCAAGGCCAGAUGGAAACUCACAGCUUGUCUUUAAUAUUAAUUUCCUUUUUUUUUUCAGGAGAUCAGAAUUCCCUAAUUCCCUAAAAUGUUUCAAUGCAUCUUGAGGUAUUAUUUUUCAGAUGCCUUUCUCCACCUACUCUUAGUACGAGUGUUCCUUUGUGUGAAUGUUAUGUUUCCUCCCUUACUUUGAAAAAAAAAAAA